rnacentral:lncRNA from 1 species
AGAAGCUUGACAAGAGGCAUGGAGCAGAUGCUUCCUCACAGCCCUCAGAAGGAACCAACCCGCCAACCCCUUGAUCUCAGAUUUCUGGCCUCCAGAACCGCGAGACAGCAGAUUUCCAUGGCUUGAGCCGCCCGGUUUGUAGUACUUCAUUAUGGCAGCUCCAGCAAACAAAUACAGAUUUAUGACCUCGUCUACCCGACGAGGAUGCCUGGCCCAAGCUGGCAUACUAAGAGUUUUCCUGGAACUUGGGAACUGGGACAAAGAGGGACUAAGCCAGCAAGACCGAAAAGCAUGGCAGUCCCAGGACAGCCAUGAAAACCAUAUGUGAAUUAAUGAGUGAGCAGAUUGGAGCAGCAUUGUUUUGGACCCUAAGGACGUCACGUACAAAAUGCACUUAAAUCCUUGCCUCCUGGAGCUGAUGAUAAAGAAGAUGGACAAGUAAAACAUAUGGAAUGUGAAAUGGUGAUAAGAGUGAUGGAGAAAAUAAAACAGGAGAGGAGGUUGGAAUUGCCAGGCUUCAGAUUCAGCUUCUGUUUCCUGAGUGCCUCCACUAUACCAGCCAUUGGGCCAGGCAUCCAGAAGCCCUAAGGUAGACCUCAUCAUCCCUGUUCUACAGGAGAGGAAAACCAAGACUUGGCUACUACAGUAUACAAAGGGUGUGGAAAAGUCCUCCUAGAACCCUUACCCUGCUUCCAGGAGGAGCUGGACAGUUCUUUCCAAGUCCAGGCAGAAAGAAGUCUCCUCUUUUUCCAUUCUCUUUGUUACUUUAUAUGUCUGUGCAGGCUUGGUUGAGGAAGAAGGGGGGCCAGAAGGAAGUCUGGCCAGAUGGCAGGGUAAUAAAUGACUCUGACUUAAUAAUUUGUUGCUCUCCUCUUAAUUAAAAGGCUUUUCCCUAAAUGAUUUGCUGAUCACACAAACAGCACACACUAGUUGGGCGAGGACUGGGGGCCCAGGGAAAUCUAGACUGAGAGGAGAAGGCAUUGGAAUAAAGAGGUGGCAGAUGGCAGAAGAAGCCCACCCUCCAUGUCCCAGGGUGGGCCCAGCUUCAGGAGCUCCCUCCUCCUCAGGUCUGAAACAAUUCAAUCCAAUGAUAGAGCUUUGGGGGACUGGUUCUUCUUUCAGGCCUCAGCUUUUCUGGAAGCUGACUUUGCCAGGGGGCUUUUUAAUUUCUGGGAUGAAGAUAUAAGCUUUAUUUUAUCUAACACGUGGCUUUGCAUUCAGUUUCCUCAAAGCCCCAUGUGGCCUUGGGGGGUGAUCAGGUAGCCUUUGGACCAUUUUGCAUAUAAACUGUCACUUAUACACUUGAUCAACUGGGGUGGUGGUCAUAGAGGGGGACAGGGCACCCAUUGUUCCAAGCAGCGUCCUGUCAAUAUCUGCAGUUGCAAGCAAAUGACACUAGAUAGUGUCAAUGGAUAAGCUCUCUAUUGCAUCUUUACAACUGCAAUUUAUAAGUUCCUGGGAUUAAAAUCUGCUUUCCAGCAAUUAUCACACAGAGGUAUAUUUUCAAAGCCUCACAUGUAAUUAGAACAUGUUAUUGAUAAAGUGCUAGCUAAAGAUUUAGACUUUGAGUCUGUUCAUGAGGGAUCAGUUUUGUUAAUAUUGAUAAUGUUUUCCCCCUUUAAUGCAGUUAGGAGUUAGAUUGAGAUGCCAAAUUCAAUCAAAAUGCACAUCUUAUCCCCCGCCAAGGGACUUCUGGCUCUCUUUUACUUGUUCAGACUUGUAGAAAGGACCCCAGAGAUCGUGUCAUAUAGGAAAACAUCCUGCCA